UACAGAGGUCUCAAGCGUUUGUUCGGAUUCAUUGGGCGUAAAGGGUGCGUAGGCGGCUUUGUAAGUACAGUGGUGAAAUACUCCAGCUUAACUGGAGGGGUGCCAUUGAUACUGCGGAGCUUGAGGUACAGAUGAGGUAGGCGGAAUUGACGGUGUAGCGGUGAAAUGCAUAGAUAUCGUCAAGAACACCGAUAGCGAAGGCAGCUUACUGGGCUGUAACUGACGCUGAGGCACGAAAGGUGUGGGGAUCAAACAGG
rnacentral:rRNA from 1 species